ensembl:lincRNA
GGGGCCUCAGAGACCGGGACGCUCGGGACCGGAAGAAUGUAGCGAGAGGGAAUUCUGCAUUCCAGGGCUGAGCACUGGACUCUUGAACCAGUUAGAGCCUGUGUCACUUGGCCGGGUUGUGCCAAAAGCUGUUUAAUGCCUAUCCCUGCUUCCUGAUGAUCCAGCUGACAGGAUGCAGGGUCAUGGGAGCAAUUCAGAACCAUACACAGUCUAUACUGGGAAGAACCUGCACCUGUGCUGGAUGGAGUUAUCCUCAACACAUGAAUGUUUUAAAUAAAAGUUUGUUAAAACCGUCAUUUAAAAUCAUAAACAAAGGGGCACCUAGCUGGCUUAGUUAGUAGAGCAUGUGACUCCUGAUCUUGGGGGUUGUAGGUUCUCGCCCAGCAAUGGUUGUAAAGAUC